AACCUAGCACACCUGCGGUGUGUACCUGCGGAAGGAUCAUUACACAAUACAAUAUGAAGGCUGUCCGCAGCUGGAGUAUUUUAUUACCCUUGUCUUUUGCGCACUUGUUGUUCCCUGGGCGGGUUCGCUCGCCACCAGGACCACCAAAUAAACCUUUUUUAUGCAGUUGCAAUCAGCGUCAGUACAAACAAUGUAAAUCAUUUACAACUUUCAACAAUGGAUCUCAGAUCGGAAGAGCAC
rnacentral:misc_RNA from 1 species